rnacentral:rRNA from 1 species
UCAGUCGUCGGACGUCAGACUUCAGGAAAAAAUAAAGCCUAAGAAUAAUUCCUGACGACCGAUGUCCGACGACUGGCGACUGAAUAGCGGCGGACGGGUGAGUAACACGUGGAUAACCUGCCCGUUAGACCGGGAUAACACCGGGAAACUGGUGCUAAUACCGGAUAAGCUCUUUAGAGCAAAAGCUUACAAAGAGGAAAGGGGGAACCCGCUAAAGGAUGGGUCCGCGUCCUAUUAGCUAGUUGGUAGGGUAACGGCCUACCAAGGCGACGAUGGGUAGCCGGCCUGAGAGGGUGACCGGCCACACUGGGACUGAGACACGGCCCAGACUCCUACGGGAGGCAGCAGUGGGGAAUAUUCCGCAAUGGGGGAAACCCUGACGGAGCAAUGCCGCGUGAGUGAAGAAGGCCUUUGGGUCGUAAAACUCUGUCUUGAGGGACGAAAAAAAUGACGGUACCUCAAAAGAAAGCCCCGGCUAACUACGUGCCAGCAGCCGCGGUAAAACGUAGGGGGCGAGCGUUGUCCGGAAUUACUGGGCGUAGAGGGCGUGCAGGCGGCCUGUGUAGUCAAGCGGUGAAAACCCGGGGCUUAACUUCGGGAUGGCCCUUGAAACCAACAGGCUUGAGGACAGGAGAGGGGAGUGGAAUUUCCGGUGUAGCGGUGAAAUGCGUAGAUACCGGAAGGAACACCAGUGGCGAAGGCGGCUCCCUGGACUGGUCCUGACGCUGAGGCGCGAAAGCGUGGGGAGCAAACA